rnacentral:rRNA from 1 species
CCUGCAAGUCGAACGGAGCUGAGAGGAGCUUGCUUUUCUUAGCUUAGUGGCCAACGGGUGAGUAACGCGUGAGUAACCUGCCCUGGAGUGGGGGACAACAGUUGGAAACGACUGCUAAUACCGCAUAAGCCCACGGUGCUGCAUGGCACUGCGGGAAAAGGAUUUAUUCGCUCUAGGAUGGACUCGCGUCCAAUUAGCUAGUUGGUGAGGUAACGGCCCACCAAGGCGACGAUUGGUAGCCGGACUGAGAGGUUGAACGGCCACAUUGGGACUGAGACACGGCCCAGACUCCUACGGGAGGCAGCAGUGGGGGAUAUUGCACAAUGGGGGAAACCCUGAUGCAGCGACGCCGCGUGGAGGAAGAAGGUUUUCGGAUUGUAAACUCCUGUCGUUAGGGACGAUAAUGACGGUACCUAACAAGAAAGCACCGGCUAACUACGUGCCAGCAGCCGCGGUAAAACGUAGGGUGCAAGCGUUGUCCGGAAUUACUGGGUGUAAAGGGAGCGCAGGCGGACCGGCAAGUUGGAAGUGAAAACUAUGGGCUCAACCCAUAAAUUGCUUUCAAAACUGCUGGCCUUGAGUAGUGCAGAGGUAGGUGGAAUUCCCGGUGUAGCGGUGGAAUGCGUAGAUAUCGGGAGGAACACCAGUGGCGAAGGCGGCCUACUGGGCACCAACUGACGCUGAGGCUCGAAAGCAUGGGUAGCAAACAGGAUUAGAUACCCUGGUAGUCCAUGCCGUAAACGAUGAUUACUAGGUGUUGGAGGAUUGACCCCUUCAGUGCCGCAGUUAACACAAUUAAGUAAUCCACCUGGGGAGUACGACCGCAAGGUUUGAAAACUUCAAAGGAAUUGACGGGGGCCCGCACAAG